rnacentral:rRNA from 1 species
GACGAACGCUGGCGGCGUGCCUAAUACAUGCAAGUAGGACGCAGUUGCGAACGGGUGAGUAACGCGUCGGUAACUGCCUAUUAGAGGGGGAUAACUAUUGGAAACGAUAGCUAAUACCGCAUACUAGUAGAUGGACCUGCGUUGUAUUAGCUAGUAGGUCGGGUAAUGGCCUACCUAGGCGACGAUACAUAGCCGACCUGAGAGGGUUAUCGGCCACACCGGGACUGAGACACGGCCACGAUCCCUACGGGAGGAAGCAGUAGGGAAACUUCGGCGAUGGGGGGAACCCUGACCGCGCAACGCCGCGUGAGGGAAGAAGGUUUUCGGAUCGUAAAGAUCUGUUGUUAAGGAAGCGGUACUUAACCAGAAAGGGACGGCUAACUACGUGCCAGCAGCCGCGGUAAUUC